UAUUAUAGCUUCGUUUAUUAUUUAUGCUUUAAGGUAAACCGUCAACACUUUCGUCAGCUGUUGCAAACCCGUUCUCUGAUCCCACGCCCCCGAAGCCGUCAAUAAAUCAGAUAAAACAGGUACCGUUCCAGCCGGCGCAAUUCACCCCCACAUCCACACCUGCUUAUCCCACAUCAGGUCUGGGGGUGGCUUACGUUCCACCACAACCGACCUCGCCUUACGCUAUCAGUCCCCAGUUUGCCACUUCCGCCACUAGCGUGCCGUUCGCUUCACCCACCACUUUUGGCCCCACGGGUUCCGCUGGGCAGCCAACGAACGAUCCCUGGGCACCGAUCGGGACUUCGGCGAGUCCGUGGGGUGUUAAACCACGAGAACAAGCUAAUCCAUUCUUGUCAUAACAACGUAACGACCGUGGUCUGUUGCUGAUCAAUAACAAUAAAUUGUUGAGCAUAUUGAAUAAUAAACAUCCAAGUUAAUUGAGUAUUAGAGGUACAACUUGAUAUUGUGUAAAAUUAUAUAAAAAAAAGUGGUGCGAAGUACUAGAUAGGAAUUUUUUGAAGUACAUAUAUAAAUAGAACAGUAUGAAUUUUGCUUUACAUGUACAUUUUCCGAGUCAUUCUGUUUUUAUUCUUUUUUUUAGUCAACGGAAACGUUCAAACUAAUCAAAUGUCGUUUCUAAAAUUUGUCUUCAUUUUUAUUUAAUUUUUUUUUGCUUAUCACACGCGAACGUAUUGUGAUCCAUAUUGCUCAUUAUUUUUUUUUAUUUUUUUGUAUUACUAUUCGACGUUGCUCAGUGUAUUUAGCGAUGUAUUCUUAUCUUACACUUUUUUAUACUACAGAUUUUAUAUCAUCUUAGAUGAUGAAACAAUUCUAAAUAAAAAAAAGGAUUAAAAAUAAUAUAACACAAUAAUAACAUAUAAAUAUACUUUUCACGGCUGGCACGUGAACUUGUGCACUUUUAAGAACUUGCACGCAGUAAAAACACCAAAAAUCAUUUAUUUUUUUAUUACUACUGUUAUUAUUAUUUAUGUUUUAUGCCUAUCGUUGUUAUUAAUUAAUCUAUUAUUCUUUUUGCUGUCACGCUUUGUAGAAAACGCUUAGUUUACAUAAAUUAUGUUUGCAGUGGAGAACGCUAUUAAAGGUGUAUUUGUUCAUGUGUUUUGCGAAUAACAAGGACGUGGUUGCAACAAACUUAUUAUACAGGGUGGAGGGCGAUUGGCUUUAGUUAAAGUCAAAAUCGGUGUGUUUAAAAUACGUACUUGCUUACCUAUACAUGUUUUUAAUUAAUAGACACCUUCUACAUAUGUAUUCUAAUGUAAUACAAAGAGUCAAUAGUU